rnacentral:rRNA from 1 species
UACGUAGGGCGCGAGCGUUGUUCGGAUUUACUGGGCGUAAAGAGCUCGUAGGCGGAUUGUUGCGUCAGCUGUGAAAUCCCGCAGCUCAACUGUGGGCUUGCAGCUGAUACGGGCGGGCUAGAGUUCGGUAGAGGUGAGUGGAAUUCCUGGUGUAGCGGUGAAAUGCGUAGAUAUCAGGAGGAACACCAGAGGCGAAGGCGGCUCUCUGGGCCGAUACUGACGCUGAGGAGCGAAAGCGUGGGGAGCAAACAGG